rnacentral:rRNA from 1 species
UGCAGUCGACGGGCCCGGGAUCCGAUUAAGGAGGUGAUCCAGCCGCACCUUCCGGUACGGCUACCUUGUUACGACUUCACCCCAAUCGCUGACCCCACCUUCGACAGCUCCCUCCUUGCGGUUGGGCCACUGGCUUCGGGUGUUGCCAACUUUCCUGGUGUGACGGGCGGUGUGUACAAGGCCCGGGAACGUAUUCACCCCGGCAGUGUUGAUCCCGGUAUUCUAGCGACUCCACUUCUGUAGUCGAGUUGCAGACUACUAUCUGGACUGCGAU